CGCGACAUUUCUUCCUCGCGCGGGCUAGGGUUCGUGACAGAUUCAACAGGCGACUUCAUUCCUCCGAGUUCUGAGUUCGAGCAGCAACAUCUUCUCCAGAUUUGGUCAGCACAGCAGACUUCAAUUCCAGCACUACUUCCUUCAUCCGGACCAGAUUUGGCCAGUCACAGCUCCACCUUUUCUUCCACAGCAGUCUUCAAGUUCAUAAGCAGGGUGUUGCACUUGGAAGAUCUGUUGACUUGACAAAGUUUGAUGGUUAUGACCAAUUGAUCGAUGAGUUAGAUCAGCUAUUUGAAUUCAAAGGAGAAUUGAUGGCUCCAAAUACAAAUUGGAUGAUUGUAUUUACUGAUAAUGAGGAUGAUAUGAUGCUUGUUGGAGAUGACCCUUGGCAGGAAUUUUGUGCUAUGGUCCGUCAGAUUUUUAUAUACCCAAAAGAGGAGGUCCAGA